rnacentral:rRNA from 1 species
GUGCAGUGUAGAAUGUCUUUUGCGAUUGUACGCAAUCAAUACAACUUUCAACAACGGAUCUCUUGGCUCUCGCAUCGAUGAAGGACGCAGCGAAAUGCGAUACGUAAUGUGAAUUGCAGAAUUCAGUGAAUCAUCGAAUCUUUGAACGCACCUUGCGCCCCUUGGCAUUCCGAGGGGCACACCCGUUUGAGUGUCGUGAAUUUCUCAACCUCCUGCUGUUUCUUGAUAGCAGGANGCUUGGACUUUGGAGGCGCUUGCUGGCCUCUCUUCAGAAGCCAGCUCCUCUUAAAUGGAUUAGCAGGGUCUGCCUUUGGCCGAUCCUCGACGUGAUAAGCUGCUUCUACGUCUUGGAUUCGGCUCCGCCUCAUUCUUUUGAGACCUGCUUCUAAUCGUUCUCGGUUGCCCUUUCNGNUGGACUUUUGA